ensembl:snoRNA
CUGCAGUGAUGAGCCUCAGCUAGAUUGAUCUGGUAUUGCUUCCCUCUGGGGAGAGCUCUGACCAGGGAAUGAUCUCAGCUUAAUCUUCUCUCUGAGCAG